rfam:Loxodonta africana unplaced genomic scaffold scaffold_5, whole genome shotgun sequence.
AUCUCCUUGGGAUUUUCUUAAAUGCAGAUUCUGAUUCAGUAGGCCUACGGUGGGGCCUGAGAUUCUGCAUUACUAACAAGCUCCCAGGUGAUGCUGA